rnacentral:rRNA from 1 species
UAGGGAAUCUUCGGCAAUGGACGAAAGUCUGACCGAGCAACGCCGCGUGAGUGAAGAAGGUUUUCGGACCGUAAAACUCUGUUGGUAGAGAAGAACGUUGGUGAGAGUGGAAAGCUCAUCAAGUGACGGUAACUACCCAGAAAGGGACGGCUAACUACGUGUCAG